rnacentral:lncRNA from 1 species
AAAAUUUUAGUGCUAUAUCACCACUUUUUAUAGGAUUUUUAUUUUCAGCCGUUAAAAAUUAUUGAUUUUGAAUUCUUUCGAUUGCUAAAUAAAUGAUAUCGAAAAAUCGCAAAAAUUAUUUUCUAAAAACUUCAAAUACGCUAGAUCAAGUUUAACGGAGCCGAUCGUCGAUUUGAAAAUUCCAUCAUCGAGAACGGCUCAGGAGCCGGAGAUCACAGCAGUCCUGCUCUCUCUCUCUCUCUCUCUCUCUCUCUCUCUCUCUCUCUCUCUCUCUCUAUAUAUAUAUAUAUAUAUAUAUAUAUAUAUAUAUAUAUAUAUAUAUAUCGAGCUUAAUUCGAGCUUUUCGAGCUUAAUUCGAGCGAGCCGAGUAAUACUCAAGCUCGGCUUGAAAUUAAUUUCGAGCCUAAAUUUAGAUUCAAGCUUGCUUGAAAUUAAUUCGAUCCGAACUCGAGCGAGCCGAACGCGAGUCGAACACGAGCUGG